UGAUUUGUCCUGAUCGAUGAUUCGUGCUC
rnacentral:piRNA from 1 species